UACGUAGGGGGCAAGCGUUUGUCCGGAAUCAUUGGGCGUAAAGAGCGCGUAGGCGGCCCUGUAAGUCCGCUGUGAAAGUCAAGGGCUCAACCCUUGGAUGCCGGUGGAUACUGCAGGGCUAGAGUCCGGAAGAGGCGAGUGGAAUUCCUGGUGUAGCGGUGAAAUGCGCAGAUAUCAGGAAGAACACCCGUGGCGAAAGCGGCUCUCUGGAACGGUACUGACGCUGAGACGCGAAAGCGUGGGGAGCGAACAGG
rnacentral:rRNA from 1 species